rnacentral:rRNA from 1 species
GACGAACGCUGGCGGCGCGCUUAACACAUGCAAGUCGAACGGCAAGGCCUGCUUUCCCUUGUGGAUUGCGGGUACUCGCGUGGCGAACGGGUGAGUAACACGUGAGUGAUCUGCCCCCAACUUGGGUAUAAGCCUGGGAAAUUGGGUCUAAUUCCCGAUAGGACUGCAGGGUGGUGCCUGUGGUGGAAAACGAUUUUCUAGUGGUUGGGGAUGAGCUCGCGGACUAUCAGCUUGUGGGUGGGGUAAUGGCCUACGAAGGCGGCGACGGGUAGCCGGCCUGAGAGGGUGGACGGCGACAUUGGGACUGGGAGACGGCCCAGACUCGUACGGGAGGCAGCAGUGGGGAAUAUUGGACAAUGAGCGGAAGCCUGAUGCAGCGACGCCGCGUGGGAGAUGACGGCCUUCGGGUUGUAAACUCCUUUCGACCGAGAGGAAGCCACCUGGUUGGAAGGGUGGUGACGGUAGUGGUAGAAGAAGCACCGGCUAACUACGUG